rnacentral:rRNA from 1 species
GUGGGGAAUAUUGGACAAUGGGCGAAAGCCUGAUCCAGCCAUGCCGCGUGUGUGAAGAAGGUCUUCGGAUUGUAAAGCACUUUAAGUUGGGAGGAAGGGCAGUAAGUUAAUACCUUGCUGUUUUGGCGUUACCGACAGAAUAAGCACCGGCUAACUUCGUGCCAGCAGCCGCGGUAAUACGAAGGGUGCAAGCGUUAAUCGGAAUUACUGGGCGUAAAGCGCGCGUAGGUGGUUUUGUAAGUUGGAGGUGAAAUCCCCGGGCUCAACCUGGGAACUGCCUCCAAAACUGCAUGACUAGAGUACGGUAGAGGGUAGUGGAAUUUCCUGUGUAGCGGUGAAAUGCGUAGAUAUAGGAAGGAACACCAGUGGCGAAGGCGACUACCUGGACUGAUACUGACACUGAGGUGCGAAAGCGUGGGGAGCAAACAGGAUUAGAAACCCUGGUAGUCC